rnacentral:rRNA from 1 species
AAUAGAUACCCGGGGUAGUCUUUGCCGUAAACUAUGUAUACUUGGUGUAACCGGACUCAACCCUGGUUGUGCCGUAGCCAACGCGAUAAGUAUACCGCCUGGGGAGUACGCUCGCAAGGGUGAAACUCAAAAGAAUUGACGGGGACCCGCACAAGCAGUGGAGCAUGUGGUUUAAUUCGAUGCAACGCGAAGAACCUUACCCAGACUUGACAUGCACUAGACCGCUUCAGAAAUGAAGCUUCCCUUCGGGGCUGGUGCACAGGUGCUGCAUGGCUGUCGUCAGCUCGUGCCGUGAGGUGUUGGGUUAAGUCCCGCAACGAGCGCAACCCUUAUCAUUAGUUGCCAACACGUAAUGGUGGGAACUCUAAUGAGACUGCCUGGGUUAACCAGGAGGAAGGUGAGGAUGACGUCAAGUCCGCAUGGCCCUUAUGUCUGGGGCUACGACACGUGCUACAAUGGUCGGUACAAAAGGCAGCGAAACCGUGAGGUGAAGCAAAUCCCGAAAGCCGGCCCCGGUUCAGAUUGUAGUCUGCAACUCGUAC